rnacentral:rRNA from 1 species
UACGUAGGGUGCGAGCGUUGUCCGGAAUUACUGGGCGUAAAGAGCUCGUAGGUGGUUUGUCGCGUUGUUCGUGAAAACUCACAGCUCAACUGUGGGCGUGCGGGCGAUACGGGCAGACUGGAGUACUGCAGGGGAGACUGGAAUUCCUGGUGUAGCGGUGGAAUGCGCGUGAUAUCAGGAGGAACACCGGUGGCGAAGGCGGGUCUCUGGGCAGUAACUGACGCUGAGGAGCGAAAGCGUGGGGAGCGAACAGG